UAAGGUACCUGGCAGGGGAGAUACCAUGAUCAUGAAGGUGGUUUUCCCAGGGCGAGGCUUAUCCAUUGCACUCCGGAUGUGCUGACCCCUGCGAUUUCCCCAAAUGUGGGAAACUCGACUGCAUAAUUUGUGGUAGUGGGGGACUGCGUUCGCGCUUUCCCCUG
rnacentral:snRNA from 1 species